GUGGGGAAUAUUGGACAAUGGGGGCAACCCUGAUCCAGCCAUGCCGCGUGAGUGAUGAAGGCCUUAGGGUUGUAAAGCUCUUUCGCUAGGGAAGAUAAUGACGGUACCUAGAGAAGAAGCCCCGGCUAACUUCGUGCCAGCAGCCGCGGUAAUACGAAGGGGGCUAGCGUUGUUCGGAAUUACUGGGCGUAAAGCGCACGUAGGCGGACACUUAAGUCAGGGGUGAAAUCCCAGGGCUCAACCCUGGAACUGCCUUUGAUACUGGGUGUCUUGAGUACGAGAGAGGUGAGUGGAAUUCCGAGUGUAGAGGUGAAAUUCGUAGAUAUUCGGAAGAACACCAAGAGCGAAGGCAGCUUGCUGGACAGAAACUGACUCUGAGAGACGAAAGCGUGGGGAGCAAACAGGAUUAGAAACCCGUGUAGUCC
rnacentral:rRNA from 1 species